rnacentral:snRNA from 1 species
AUAAUCUAAAAUAUCAUUCAAAUCAAACCUGGGAACGAUUGAGAGAAGAUUAGCAUGGCCUCUGCACAAGGAUGACACGCAUAAAUCGAGAAAUGUUCCAAAUAAAG